GCACGUAAGAUUACGCCGGGGCUUCUUCUACGAGGACGACCGUCAUUAUACGUCCCCGUGGAAAGAAGUUUACAACCCUAAGGCCUUGAUCGACUCACGCGACGCAUGGCUGGUAUCAGGCUUGCGCCCAUUGUCCAGUAUUCCCCA
rnacentral:rRNA from 1 species